rnacentral:lncRNA from 1 species
AAAUGAAGAGUUCAUGUAACAUAGGGGUGGCCAAGGAUUUCCAAUUGGAAUGGCAUUCCUAGUACUAGCAGGGAGGAGGAUUUUGUAUGAAUUUGUCCACAAUUAAAACUAAAGAAUAAAUAAAUUACGGCUUCAAAGUGAUUGUUGUGGGUUUGUCAAUGAAGACAAAGGAAGUAGAGACUGACAGGGCAGGUCAGAAAUUAUAAACUGAAGGCUAUGCAAAACGGAAGUCUGUUCAAUAAAA